CUCAGGAGCAACAAAGAACAAGUCUGCUCCUUCGUCACUGUGACAGCCCUUCAGAUAUGUGGAUAUGGAUAAUUUGAUUAGUUUCUCCUAACCCUUUGGGAAAUGGAGGUGGUGACAGCAUUUCAGUGAGGAUUCGCCACACCUUUGACCUCUGGAUCCAGUGCGAAGUCUUCCUCCCAGUGUUGGAAAUGGCAGCCAAGAAUCCAGCAGGCAAAUGCUUUCAACAAACAACUCUGUCUUCCAGCAUGAUGCUCCAUUCUCAAAGGCCCUGAAAAAUAAUUACAGCUGUUUCUCCAUAUGAAGAUUUUUAUAUCACACUUACUUGAUUGGGUCAUGUGAACAUGAACUUCUCAGCCCCUGCAGUCAGGGUGCCUGACUUUUGCAUUUCCCCAAGGCAUGAUUUUGCCUAUUUGUACUUCUGAUUCCAACACAUGGUCAGAAGGAGGGAAAACACAACAGAGAACUCGGGUAAGGACCCUGGAGAACAGAACACCCCUAGACCUAUCCUGGAACAAAACACUAUCCUGAUUCCCUGGUCUGCAAGUGGUCACACUACACCACUUACGUCUUCUUUUUCCUGCCUUUCUACUUUGCUACUACAAGGAAAUCUACCUGCACACUCCAACCUGCACGUGCACCGAACGCACCAACGGAUUGGGACCAGUAAUCCUAACCAUCUAUUUCUUUAAAUAUCCUUGCUCCCUUCUUUAAGUCUACGCCUUGAUUCUUUCUCAAGCAAAGCCUAAAGCUGAUUAAUUGACAAUUCGGACCUUAAGCUAAAACACCAGUAUGUCAAUACUGUUAGUUACAGUAAGAUUGUAUUGCCUCCUCACCUUGCCCAAUCAAUCUUUUUAUUUUCCUGU